rfam:Dipodomys ordii contig_10603, whole genome shotgun sequence.
GGUGGCUCAAUGGUAGAGCACUUGCCUUGCAUGCAUGAGGCCCUGGGUUCGAUUCCUUAGCACCA